UUUUUUUUUUUUUUUUUUUUUUUGGUUUUUUGAGACAUGGAUUCUCUGUAUAGCCCUGGCUAUCCUGGAACUCACUCUGUAGACCAGGCUGGCCUCGAACUCAGAAAUUCGCCUGCCUCUGCCUCUCAAGUGCUGGGAUUAAAGGCAUGUGCCACCACUGCCCAGCUUUUUAAAGAUUUAUUUAUUAUUAUACAUAAGUAUACUGUAGCUGACUUUAGACACACCAGAAGAGGGCACCAGACCUCAUGGAUGGUUGUGAGCCACCAUGUGGUUGCUGGAGAUUUGAACUCAGGACCUACAGAACAACAGAUUAAACUGCUCUUUUAGCUGAGCCAUCUCGUCAGCCCCUAAAGGUUUUUAAUGUGUGCCUGCUCUGGGGUAAAUAAUCUUACAAGAGAAGGAAGUAAAAACAGACUCACUUUUCAAGAAAGACUGUCCUUACAAGUAUUUUUUCUUGGAGAGAAGGUAAAAUGGUUUUGUAGAUAAAAUCUAUUAUGAGAUGAUCUUGCUGCCAUAUGUAGAGUAUUUCUUUGCAUUAGAUCCUAUGCUAAAUAGUUUGCAUAAGUUCUCGUUUCCUGAUUAUAAUAAUCCUAGGGGAUUAUUAUUUUCAGGUGAUAACAUUGGAUUCCAGAGAUGAAUUGAUGGAAGCACCGGAAGGGGCAUUGCUGGGUAGAGCCCAGUGCUGCACCUAAUGCUGUCCAUAGGUGCUCGCUCACACUGCCCACUUACAGUCAUUUGAGCUGGGGACUCCUUUCAAGUUUUUCAUCCUACUUUUAAAAUUAGGAUUGAAUUGACUUUUAUGAAGGGUUUAGGUUUAUGUGUGUGAGCCUUGCCAAAAUGUGUGGAUGUGGACCAUGUUAGUGCAGUGCCCACAGAGGUGAGGCGAGCACAGGGAUGAAGAGCAUCAUUGGGUCCCCCUAGAUGAUUGUGAGCUGCCAUGUGGGUGCUAGGAACCAAACCUAGGUCCUUUAUAAGAACAGCAAGGAGUCUUAACUGCCAAACCAUCCCUCAAAAAGUAACUCAAUAAAAUAUCUGUUGGGAAGAAAUGUUUACUUUAAAUCCAUCUCUAGAGAGGCAGCAGUAGGUAGAUACAUACCUAUGAGUUCCAGUCUAGCCAAAGCUAUACAGUGAAGCUUUGUUUCACAAACAACAAGACAACUGAAUAAUUGAGGAAAUUUUAACGGCUGGAUACUCAAAGAUCCUGAGUAACUAUUGGGUGUGCUAAGGGCCUUUUGUUUGUAAGAUAAUACCCAUCUGUUGUCCAUAGUGGCGUUUGCCUUUAAUAACAGCAUUCUGAGUUUGUGGACAGGCUGACUUAGAGUGAGUUCCAGGACAGCCAAGGCUACACAGAGAAACCCUCAAAAAGUAAUAUUAAUCUUUCUUAUAGAUGCAUACUGAAAUACAUGUGGUGAGUAAAGGAUGUCAUGGUGUAUUCUUAAAUGCAGAGGGGAUGACAUGAUGGAGAUAAGGGAAAAACAGGAAGAAUGCUCCUUCAAAACAACAAUUUUUAAAUCUGCAAAUGAAUUUUGGAGGUUCAUCAUGGUUCAAAUUUGGGUUUUCUAUAUUUGAGUAUGUUUCCAUUAAAAAUAGUUUUUAAUAACCUCCUAUUUUCCAUAGACUUAAAGGCUAUAACUCAAAAUCCAAGCUCCUUUGGGGGAUACUGAGGGAACGGGGCAGUCUGCUCCUUCAAGUCUUUUCAAAGGGCAGAGUGCUGCAGAAAUCCAUGCACAGUUCUCACUCACAGCUGUUCCCAACUUUAUCUUUCAAAACGUAUCCGGACAAACAGAAACACUCACUGUUUCAUGAAUAAAUCACACACUCUUGCCUCUAAUCUUUCUCAGACUGUUCUCUAUUU
rnacentral:lncRNA from 1 species